rnacentral:rRNA from 1 species
AGAGUUUGAUCCUGGCUCAGGACGAACGCUGGCGGCGUGCUUAACACAUGCAAGUCGAACGGUAAGGCCCUUCGGGGUACACGAGUGGCGAACGGGUGAGUAACACGUGGGUGAUCUGCCCUGCACUUUGGGAUAAGCCUGGGAAACUGGGUCUAAUACCGAAUAUGACCAUGCACUUCCUGGUGUGUGGUGGAAAGCUUUUGCGGUGUGGGAUGGGCCCGCGGCCUAUCAGCUUGUUGGUGGGGUAAUGGCCUACCAAGGCGACGACGGGUAGCCGGCCUGAGAGGGUGACCGGCCACACUGGGACUGAGAUACGGCCCAGACUCCUACGGGAGGCAGCAGUGGGGAAUAUUGCACAAUGGGCGCAAGCCUGAUGCAGCGACGCCGCGUGAGGGAUGACGGCCUUCGGGUUGUAAACCUCUUUCAGCACAGACGAAGCGCAAGUGACGGUAUGUGCAGAAGAAGGACCGGCCAACUACGUGCCAGCAGCCGCGGUAAUACGUAGGGUCCGAGCGUUGUCCGGAAUUACUGGGCGUAAAGAGCUCGUAGGUGGUUUGUCGCGUUGUUCGUGAAAACUCACAGCUUAACUGUGGGCGUGCGGGCGAUACGGGCAGACUUGAGUACUGCAGGGGAGACUGGAAUUCCUGGUGUAGCGGUGAAAUGCGUAGA